GUCUGCAUUAUAGAACUUUCUCUUCCUGUGUCCAUUUGCUCAUGAGGCAAUGUUGCACACUCCACCAAGGGCUUACAUGCUAUAAUGCUUCAAGUUCAGCCAAAUUUCCUCUUCUUUUCUUUUUGUGAUAGCCGCCAUUUACGUUACACCCAAAUGCCCCCAUGCUCCUCCUUAAAACCGUCUCCAUUUCCCCGGGUGCCUCCCUCAGCAGGAGCCCCUGCUUUCACCUGCCUCUUGAGGGAAUCUUGUGCAAGCUCAGGUCUCCAAAGGCAACAUCUGGGUCCGGUCACCGAAGACAGAUGGGCUCCCUCUACUUCGUCCCCCAUCCCCGCGGGACCUCUGCCGGAGGCGCGGCAUGCUAUUUGAAUGUAAUGAUAUGCUGACUAAAUCGUUCCUGCACGGUGCGUGCCGAGUGCAUUCCUACUGUUAGAACCUAUUCUGUAUCUGUACAGGCCUCCUCAUUACGGAUGGCUUUCUCUAUCUCAAAACAUUCCUGGGAUUUCCAGAUGCUGCCAUUGAACAAAUUCUCAUUAUUUUGCUUCUGAUCCUUUAUACAGCCAAAUGGUCCUCCUCUGACAUUGCAGGGGGCCAAUUUCGUAAAAAUAAUCACUUUUGCUACUGUGGUUAUUAACCAAUAAAAGGUUGAGAAUCAA